AGAGCCCUACUACUCCCAUUCCAAGCAGGAUCUUCCCUUGCAGCAUGCACAGACUGAGGCCUCUGGUUCUCCUGCUGUGCUUAAGUCUUCAGAAGGCUUCUGAAAAUGGUCCCACCCUCUCUUAUGAGGGAUUUACUACUACAUCUUGAAUCACACACCAGUCUGAGCUUGGAACAGUAUUUGCAUACCUUGGAUGGCCUAAUUGAUUUCAAGGCCUUGCUAAAAUUGAGAACAGUUGAAGUGCUGGUGUACUGAUUAUGUACAGCUGACCUGUUCAUGCCUCUGACGUGACAAAAACCACAAUGAUUCUGUAUUUACAUGGAUCAAUAAUAACAAUAAAUCUCCAAACCAG